UUUAUUGAGAGUUUGAUCCUGGCUCAGGACGAACGCUGGCGGCGUGCCUAACACAUGCAAGUCGAGCGAUGAAGCUUC
rnacentral:rRNA from 1 species